rnacentral:misc_RNA from 1 species
AAGUCGUAACAAGGUCUCCGUUGGUGAACCAGCGGAGGGAUCAUUACUGAGUUCUACAAAACUCCCAACCCUUUGUGAAUUAUACCUUAGUUGCCUCGGCGUCGAACAAGUCACCUACCCGGGAGCUACCCUGGAGUCACCUACCCUGUAGAACCUACCCUGUAGAUGGCUACCCUGGAGCUACCCUGUAGUUGCACUUUUGCGUCGCCGGUGGACUACCAAACUCUUAUAUGUAUAGUGUAUCUCUGAAUUCUUAACAAAAUUAGUUAAAACUUUCAACAACGGAUCUCUUGGUUCUG